rnacentral:lncRNA from 1 species
UUAUGAGUAUAAAAUAUACUGAAGAAGUAGAAUCAGAUAACUUCAAUAAUAGCACCGCAUUACAAAUAAUAAUAGAAUAAAAUAAUACUAUAAUAUGAGUAUUAAAAGAAUUUAUUGAAAAUUGUAAAAAUAAUUAAAUAGUAGUAAACGAAAUUAGGCAUAGUACUAUAGAUAAAAAUAAAAGUAAGUAGCUUUAAUAGAAACUGGACAAACAUCAGAAGAUAGAUUUCCUUACUCUUAUAAAGAAAAUAUGCUAGAAAAUCCUUUUGAACUAAUUUCACUUGAAAAACAAUAAAACAAUAGAAUUAAGUAAUUAACUAUAAAACAAUUAGAAGAAAUGAUAAGAGAGAGAAAAAGAUGAUGAAGUAAAACAUAAAAUAUUCUUAGAAAUAGCUGAAAAAUUAGAUAAAAUGAAUAAAUCUAAAAUAGUAAAAAUAAAUAAUAGCAGAAUCGAAAUAGAGGAAGACUUGUAUGAACAAUAAUUUAAUAAUAUUUUUUCAUAAAUUACCAUACCCUAUUAAUAUAAACAUCGAAGAAAAAUACGAAUAAUGACUAAAAGACUUGGAAGAAAAUAGGUCAGAUACAUUAGAAUAUACAAUCAAAUAUAUUAGAGAAUAGGUAGAACAAAAAUAUUUAAAGAUAAAAUAACGAAAGAAAAUGAAAAAACAAUACUUACAUUGCUGGCAAGCAGCGAAUAUUUAGGGAUGUGCAAGCACAAAACCAACAAGCUCCAACAAUAGAAAAAGGAAAUUUUAAUUAACAAAUAGGAGAAAAAUAUAAAAGAAAAUAUUAUUAAAAAAUGUAGAUUUUUUAGAGAAAGAAAUUACCGCCAAGAAAGAAAAAAGACGGGCAUGUGGAGAAAUAAGACAUUAUGAUAAUUAAUGUAAAAAUAAAAAUAAGAAUAAAUUAAUAGAAGAUUUAGAAAGUCUAGACUAUGUAGAAUUAGAAGAAGAAAAUAACAGAGGAAUAGUAGAACUAAUUGAAGAAAAAAGAGGAUGUGAUUUCUUGGCGGAUCUAAUAGUAGAGCAUGACCUGACACAAUGACUAGAUAAUGUUAAAGAAAAAUAUGAUUUAAUUGAUGUUAUGGGUAACGAAAGUCUCUACAACUUGAAUAAUAUGAUGACAGUUUAAAAUACCACUCCCACAAUAAUUGUACUUAUAGAAUAGAUUUGAAAUCCGUGUGUCAAGUCCUUGUGUUUUGAAAUUCGAAUUUGAAGUUCGGAAGAACCUAUAUAAGGGCAUUCAUUUGUAUGUAGGGGGCUCUAAUUUUUAGAGUAAGCUUGAGCGAAGAAAAAAAUCUGGAACUCACAUCUUCUUUGAGCAAGAAAUACUUUGGCGACCUAACAUUAGACAAUAGACACCCUUGUUGUGUAAGUUUAUAAAUUUUUUAGUAGAAAUGAACAUCUUUUAUUUUCAUAUUUUUUAAUUUUCUGGUCUUGAGCCAACUCUCUAUCCAAAAAUAGAAUAGUGUCUAGAACUACGAUCUAAGGUAGAAAAAGAACCAGAUCUAUGUUGAACCUGAUCUAAUGAAGGUAAGGUUGAGAAUAACCACGUCUGUAAAUCGGAAGCUUGUCAACACUAAGUCCCUACACAGACUACGUUUAGGUAAACGACCAAACCCUUUGGAUACUGUUCCUGUUUUCGAAAGCAUAGUAGGCCUAAAAACAAAAAAAUAGAAAUAAACAAAUAAAGAAUAUCAAGUCAGAUCCUCGACCAAUAUUAGCUAGAUCAUCAGUGUAUGUUAACUCGCAUUAAGAUUUUAAAUAUAAUUUAUAAAAAAAAUAUAUUUCAAUUAUCUGUUAUCUUAUCCUAAGCCUAGAGAAACUUAUAUUUAAUAUCAAAUAUUAUUGUAUGAAGAAGAUAUUUUGCUUUUAUCAAAACAAAAUUCCUAUUUUAUGCCUAUUAUUGAAAGAUAUGCAUUAAUUAAAGCUAUAUGUGGACUACAAGCAUACGUUAAACACUUGGAAAUACUUGCAUGACCUUGGGAUAAAAACACUACGAGAUCCAAUUGGUACCUUAACGAGUUGUUUGCAGUUAUUAGCAAAGGUUAUAUAUAUUAGCGUCAAAAAAAUAAUAAUUUAAGACCAUGUUUAUAAUUAAGAAAAGUUAAAAGAUAACAACUGCAAUCAACUAAGAACUGCACCAUCCUUUUGACCAAAACAUUCCAUUAGUUUGAUACUAAAAUUCUGACACCACUGAAUCCAUAAUAAGUUCUAAAGAUAUGAACGAGCGGUCCCUGAGCCUAAACUCAGUUGAGACAUUAUUGAGCAUUGGCAUUAUCCGAGCUAAGGCAAGUAUCACUACCGAACUGUCGCUCUAUGACAAGCUUUGUAGGGUAACCGCGCCAAAACUUGGCCGAGGGACAACGGUCAACGGCGAUCCCUAGGCAUAUUAAGAGAUAAGAUGAUUUGCAUGGCAAAUUUUUUUCUGAUAGCUCCCAUACCUAGAUCGAGACGAUGACAGCAUGAUGGCAAGCUACCAACUAGACCCUAGGAGUAUGGCUGAGUCAGCCACCUACUCACUAGCACAGCAGUCAGUGCAUAUAGACACGCACCGAGCUGCAGUCUGUCGAGUGACACGACAGUUGGUGCGUCAAGGCACACGCCGAGCUGUGCUAUAUAAGAACAACCCUUAUUUUAUCAAAGAUAUGCAGAUUCAGCUGCAAAAAGCUUGCACACUCUCUCUCUAUAUAUAUAUGCAUUAAAUCUCCGGUCAUCUGAUUGGACCGUCAGAAAGCCGUUUUCCAAAAACAGCUCUAGCAGCUGAACUUACUGUUUUUGUGUCGCAGCUAGGCUACUGCAACCGGCAAAUGCCAGUAACCACCUUCGUCCACCAUUGGGCCAUUGCAGGUAUCUAUCCUCAAUUUUCUUUCUUCUAUUUCUCAAACAUUACACCCCCACAUACAUUUGAGUCAUUGUUGCCAUACCAAAAUUUACAUAAUAUGCGUUUUUGCCUCGAAGCCAAUGUACCAGCUAGUCUUGAUGUUUAAUAGAUAAUGGCCAGUUCGAUCCGGAUCCCUGGACUAAUACCCACUCAAGCAAGUUAACAAGUUGGAAAACGUUGCUGUCUACAUGACCUCCUAUUACUGCACUUGCUAGCACCAUUCUUUACACGAAGAAACUGUAAAGAACAAUUGAGGAAAUCGUCACCAUAAUAAAUCAAGUUAAAGAAGGCUCUGGUCAGCUGACAAAUAUAAAUCCUACCUGAAAUACCUCGAGAAAGGACAGCAGCGACGCUCACGUGCACCUGGCAAUAACUCAGAGAAAAUGAUGGGUGCCUUCACACCAUAAAUACCAUUCUGAUAACGUAGAGCUUGGGAGCUUAACUAGUUUCCUCGUAUAAUAUGGUUCGUAGUCAAUUUUUCAGCUAACAUAACAAUAAUGUAAGACUUCCACUAAACAAAGCCCCUCGGUUGAACCAGACACCGAACCAAGUUUCCAAUAGAUUCAACCAGCCAUUCGACAAAGACGGGAUUAAGAUAAGACAUUCGUCACUACCGGUAGUAGAUACAAUAAAUGGGUUUAGGCUUUUUUCCCCAUCGGGAAAGGACAUAGCAGGAAUCAAGUUAUGAAAAACACAAAGAAACAAUCCAGGGAGUGAAAUACUAAUCAUAAGUAAGAAGAUUGAAGCACUUUGUUUCAAUUUGAAAAACACGCAGUGUGAUCAGACACAUAUUUGGCCAAAUUAACUGAUUGUAUUUCUGACUAUUAACAACUCAAGCACAAAUGAGAACAAAAAUGUAAGAACUUGACAGAUCAAAAGCAUAAUAAACAGAAGCAAAAUCACAAUGAAACUGAAUCAUGAAACCAAAUCCAUCCUUGAAUUAAAAUAGAGAACCUAAUAACACGAGUCUUUGAGAUUGAGUAAUCAUAAUUUCCGAAAAACAGAACCCCUAAUCUUAACAAAUUAGGAAAACAUCCAACGCUUCAAACUAAAUCCAACGGAAUGCAAUGAAAAAGACAACAUAGAGUGAAGUUGCAGAACCGGUUUUCAAAACCCUAGCUUGGUGCGGCGCCAGUGCCUGCGCUUGGCAUUGUACCUGCACGCAAUUCAUCAAAAAAAUUGUAUCUUACGUGCAAUUACUGAAACAACAGGAGAAUUUUGAAGUGAGAGAAGAGAAAAGGACCUGAUGGUGUUGUCGGUCCUCAUGCGGAUCCAGUGAGGGAUGGGCCUGUUCUGCCUCAUCUUCUUCGCUAGCUUCUUCUUUAUCAUGAACGUUUUGUGCGACGGCUGAAACAAAAGUGAAUCAGAGUCAUUUCCUGAGAUAUAAAAGAUAUACGCAUGCACAUAUGCAGAGGCAGAAGAGAGAGAGAAACCAUUUUCGAUUCUGGUUGCGAGCUCCUUUGGGAGGAUGGAUGGGCGGGCUUGCAGAGGUACAGCGCUGCGAAAGAAUAAACCCUAAUUUAGCAAUUGUAAAGAUGAGGUAUUCGGAUCAUCCAACUAUCCAAGUGAUCCUCGCCGUCUAUUUUUGUUAGGUAAACUACAAUCUGGCCCUUAGAAGUUUCCAUAAUUUUAAUAUUAACUCUGAAGUUUUAUAUUUUUCCAUUUAGCCCUCUAAUGUCAAGAUUUUUGUCAAUGUGGAGCAAGACAAAACUUCCGUUCAUAUUCUCUUGGCAAAACACCACGUAGCACAACCCAUGGGGACACCCAAGGGCCUGAGUUUGUAGAGACCAUGGUGCAUAGGAGAAAAGAAUAGAAACUAAGGAUAGUAAUUUCCUUAUGCCUGAAUUGAUGUCUCUGUACAACCAACCUACUGAACUUUAUACUCAGACCUUUGGAACUAUCAUCCUACUUCUCUCUUUUUUUAUCCAUUACCUAACUACUAUCGUCGUUGCUGAUUCAAAACUCUUAAGAUAACUAUGAUUAUUUGUAUUCAUGCAUAAUCUUGGGGGACUACAAAUUGAUUGGAGUGGUUAAAUUGUAGUUAGAGAGAUAGAUUGGGGCGUUGUGAAACUACAACAUGGGGUCCAUGAGAGAUGCAAAAAAAAAACUGCAAAAAAGAUUAGAGAUAAUGAUAUGGUUGAGGAAGUUACAUAUUAGGCCAAAAAUGAGGAAAACACAGGAGGUGCUAAGGUGACAGUCGAAGACAACAAUGUAGGUAUGUGUGAUUUUUCUUUCUCAAGAUGGUUGAAAAGUAUGGGUGUUGAUGAUAGUGGUUGAGUGAAGAGACAGAGAGGAUGAAUGCAGCAUUGAUGAUGAUGAAAUGUCAUGGUAUUGGCAAUUGUGAGUCAAACUAGCUGACUGAGAUGAAUUAAACAUGGGAACAUGAAGGAAUAUAAAAGGGUACGGAAGGAAUUUUAUCAUUAGUGUUAUAAUUUAUUUAUGCAAGAUUCUCUCAUAAACUGUCUUCGCACUAUAAUUGUUAGGAAAAUAGAACCCUCAGGGGACUGGGAUGUAAGUUUUCAAACCUAAGGGAUUCAAAGGUAGUUGUGACAUAUGGAUCUCUAGGUAAUAUUACAAAUCAGUGGGAGUUGGGGAAAAUAAUGUGUCAUACAUUUAGGCUCCAUUUGGCAACAGUUUUUUUUUUUUUGAUUUUUUUACUUCAAAUAAGUCAAAAAGCCAAUCAGAAUUGAAUUUUUUGCUUAAUUUUAACUAAAAUAAAAUUAUAAAAACAAAAAAAUUGUUUUUGUUUUGAUUUUUUUUAAAAAAAAUUAAUUUUAAAUAUUACCAAACGAGCCUUAUACAUGUACUUUGCAUAAAGUUUUAUUUACUCGGUAAUAUUUUUUCCACCACCACUGACUCGGAAUUUUUACAAUAGUGUCCACUGCUUUAUCUCAACCCAAACACACCCUUAAUUCAAUCUUCUCUCUCUCUCUCGAACCCUCUCAUCUGCGCAACUAGGGUUUUGAAGUCGCCGGCGCAGAGAGUUUCUGACGCAAAAUGACGACCGUCGUGCCAACCUCCGAGGAAGAUCCGGCGCUCUCCGUUGUCCGCUUCACAGCAGAGGCUUCCUGGGCCGAUGCCGGCCCCGAGGUACACCACUCUCUCUCUCUCUCUAUAUAUAUAUAUAUAUAUAUGUAUGUAUGUAUGUAUGUAUAGCCGUUACUCUUAACAAUAUCACACUUGCACAUUCGCGGGCAAAUAUUUGCAUCUAUUCACUAUUUUGUUGCUUUGGUAUAUGUUUUGCUUGAAUCCAUUUGAUUUUCCUAUGGAGCCCGAUCAAUAGCUUAUAUACAUACAUAUGCUUAAGUGCUUGGAGGACCUAGGUUUUUGGAAAAGAGAAGGACAAGAUAAAAUUAUUUAGAUUUUGAAGAGGCGAAGAUUAAAGUGUAUAUAUGGUGAAGGGCUGACCCGCUAAGUAACUUAUUUGGUUUAUGAAAGGGACUAAUUGUUAACUUUUUUUGUAAGUUUGGGGGGCCGUGCCACCACCUGCCGCUGGUCGGCCCUGUGGCCAAGUAUGUUCUUACCUGAUGUGUACCCAAGUAUGUGCAUAACCAUCGUUUGAUCCAAACAAGGCACGAUCAAUGUCAUUACGUCAAAUUUGUAGUCUUAUAAAAUGUGUCCAAAUCAACUUUCACAUGGCACCAUGCAACAAGAUAUGUUCCUAAUAACAUCAACCAAGAAAUUCAUAUUUCAUACUACCAUAACACAUCUUGCAAUUGACAUCAAUGUACCGGCGUACCGCUGCUUGGACAAAAGUCUGGCAUAGAAAUAGCAAAAACAAGUCUCUGAAUCACGUGAGCAUCACUUAUCCAUAAAGUAUAUUGGCUCUCAAUUGUGUUAUCUAUAAUAAAAAAAAUUGAAAACACCAGUCAAUUACUUGCAAUCUCCCUAACAUUUUACGUAAAAUACCAUAAUUCCUGAAACUUUGAAAGUUUGAGUUGUAUGUAGCUACACCAUGGGCUUCUUACAUAAUACAAGGUACCAGCAAGUUAUCUGGUUCAGUUAGCUAGAUGAUUUAAUUAGUGAGGUGCAAUUGUGAGGUUACUGAAGCUAUGGGUUGUUCCCUUUGCUAGCUUUGAUGGAACUCAACUCAUGAAAAGCGACUUGUAAGUGGAGAGUGCCCAUGAGCUUACAUUCGCAUGGCCAAGUAUGAACUUAACCGAUGUGGGACAUUUAGGAUCAUAACAUGCACCCUCUUUCUGUUUCAUUAUUUUUGGAUUUCAAAUGAUUGUUUGGAAACUUGGAUCAAGUGGCAGAUUUUGAUUAUCGUCCACUCCUUACUUCUAUUUUUAUCAUAUUUCAAUUGUGGUUCUCUGUAUUUGCAUUCCAUAGUUAUAUUAGUGAUUUGUAUCAUCGGAUGCAAGAAUAGAAGAAAUUUAUCUUAUUUUUUUUGGGUUUAUAGUCUUUCGACAAUUCACUAUUAUGAGAACUUAUAUUUUAUUUGUUUAUCUUAUUUUUUUCCCCACUGAAGUGUAAGUGAAUUAUGGAUGAGGUUAUAAUAUUUUUUCUAUUUUCUAUGAUUCAUUAUCAGGUUGUGGAGUCACAAAUGAAAAGAUUAUGCAUUGAGGCACAAGAAUGCAUAGUGGUGGGCAGAUGGUUGGAUUUGGCUUCGCUUAUGCUCACUUCCGCUGAUGUCAUAUUUUCUAAAGUUUCUGAAAAAGGUAUAGUUUCUUUAAUGGAUCAUUUUCUUCAUCCGAUGAUGUCAUAUUUUCUAAAGUUUCUGAAAAAGAUAUAGUUUCUUUAAUGGAUCAUUUUCUUCAUCCUCCAAUCCAAGGAGAGGGGUUUAAACACCAUAUAACAAGCCAUUGAAUGAACUGCUUUGAUGAAUUUUAUAAGUUUUAACUGCCUUUCUUGAGAAUGAUCAUGGACUCACAAAGUAAGGUAUUCUCGUCAUGUUUGUUAUAUAACAAUGUAGAUAUGCUUAUUACUUUUUUUAAUACUAGCUGUGGGUGCCCACGUGAUGUGUGUGCAAGUGUCAGAUAUUUAAGCAGAAUUGAUUCUUUACCAUUGAUUUUGUUUUUUUACUUUUUUUAUUUAUCUAGCACUUGUUUCAACACUUAUUGUGAAUGUGGGUAUGAAGCAGUUGCCUCGUAGGGGUAUUUCUGGUAUAAAAAAAAAGUGUGAGCAGGCUUCGAAUUAGAUUUCACACCAAACUUGGUGUUGCCUUUUAUAAUAGUAUAGAUAAUUAAUUGUAAGAAACUCCCCGGAAGAGAAUUGCUGUGAUUAUCGUAGUUGGUAUACAUGCUAAUAUAUCUGGUUACAAAAAUUCAAAUGUUGAAAUUUCACUAUCGCAUGCACGCCCUCCCAUCGUCAUAUGGAUGCAUUUUAAACCCUUGAUGCAGGGAGGGUGUUUGAUCUACCCCUUAUGAUGUAAUUGUCAGAUUAUCAACUAUGGAAGGGCGCUAUGUUUUGUUUGAUCUGGAUGAAUAUUUUUUUAAAUUACUGUCGUCUACUUAUCAAAAUAAAUAAAUCUUUUACAGUUCUGUCAUCAAUAAGAGUAAUCUAUUAACUAUAUCGUUGGCAUAAAAUAUUGACUCGGGGAUAAUGUACUUGAAAUUGUGGCUGAUGAGUGAUGACCAUUUGUAAAAUUUCUCAUUUACAUUUACAUGAACAGCUUUUGUGAUUCUCGUGAUUCCUUAUUGCAGAUCUGGAGUGCAUCUUCACUGUUAUUUGCAACCUUGUCACAAAGCCUGAAAGUUUGGAUGAAUCAUUAGAGAUGGCAAAACUUAUAGCAACAAAAAUCACCCAACAACCAAAUGAGAAGCCUGCACUACGAUUGAAGAUGUAAUAUCAGUUGAUGAACAAUGUUUCUGCUAUUAUGGACCUUUGGUUGCAUCCUCUCAUGUUUGCAAUUAUUUUUUGAUUUUUUAUUGUCAGCAUGUUCAAUCUUUACAAUCUGUUGGAGAAUCCGUACAGCCGGUUCUUUGUUUACAUGAAGGCUCUUGAUCUGGCAGUCAAUGGGAAGGUUACUGAACAUAUUAUACCUUCUUUUCGAAAGAUGGAUGAUUUAUUGAAGGAAUGGAAUACGGAUUCAGGAUCAGAGGAAAAACUAUUUAUACAACAUCUCUAAUAUCUGAAGAAAGUAAAGUAAGCUGAGGGGCUGCCUUUUAAGACAAAGAUGUAAUUAUUUUCUCAUUUAUGUUUCUCUAUUGUUUGCAAAAAGUUCUUUAAGGUGAAAAUCACAAGUAGUUUUUCAUUUUAUGUCUGUUCUCUGAUUUAUAUCCUUGUGUUACCUAUUGUAAUUCCAGCUCAGCGAAGGAUUCUUUCAAAUUCCUGACCAAGUAUCUGGUAACUUUUUCUGGUGAAGAUGCAUAUACUGUUGGUGAAGCGAAGGAGGAAGCUGUGCGGGCUAUUAUUGAAUUUGUGAAGGCACCUGACAUGUUUCAGGUAUUGCAGUCCUUAAUUGAAUAUUACAUAUGAGCUUUGGAGGGGAAAGGGAGGAAUUGGACAAUCUUUGAGUGGUAAGGAGCCUAGGACUAGGAACUCACUUAUUGAGACUGUAAUUUGUUUGCAAUAAUAAUAAUAAUAAUAAUAAUAAUAGUAGUAGUAGUACGAGGCUCAACGAUUUUGCGAGUUGCAUGUUUGGGGUUUUACACUUUUUCUUCCUCUCCUUUCAGUUUUAUUUUUUGAAAAGCUUUUCUGUACUUUUUACCAAAUUAAGGAAAUGCUGAAUUGUUUUGAUUUUUUUUUUAUAAUUUGAUAUAAACCGAAUGUACAGUGCAAAAUACACACACACACACACACGUAUGUACGUAUAUAAAGACUACUCAUUUUGUUUUGCAUUUUUUUACACAAUUUCAUCGGUCCUGUUUAAGGUUACUCCUUGACAGGUUAGUUUGAUUUAGGGGUCUGCUGAGGGCCAUCUAAACCCAAUCUGCACCCAAGCUUAACUUCAUGGGCUUGAAUUGCUCAGAAGAGGUUGGAGUUGUCAGGUAGUAUCAGAUUAUCGACAUGAAAAUGCCAUUUUUCGAGUGUGUACAGAGAAUGCGUUCCAGUGCUGAAGAACAUUUACAUAGUUUGCAGUGGAAACACAUUAUGCAUGAGUACUAAACAAGCAAUACGCCUUGAAGGACUCCUCGUUAUAGAUAGAUCUGUGUUAAUACUUACUACUGUAUGAAUGUUUGAUCUGCUUGAUCAACUUUAGAAGACAUAUUCCUGGAUGUAUAUUUCUUGUUAUUAUUCCUGUGGUUGAUCUUGUGAAAUUUUUAGAUUUUUUUUGUGUGUAUAUAUUGGUCUUUCUCUGCAUCAAGUGUUUUUGUUUUGGGGUAGGGGGUGGGUAAUAACAAUUUUUAGCCUUUGGCAAAGGUAGUUGCAUCAUCAUCAAAGUCAUUAGUUAUCCCGCUUGAAACCUAAAGAUGGACGAUACAUGGAACAUGGAAAGAUAUGUUGUUCAGCACAAGUGCAUGUGAAUGAUUUUUGAGUUGCAGUUUGCAAAAGGGAACCACACGCUCAGGCUUAAAUAAUCCAAAGAAACUAGUCAUGGUUUUAAAUCUUAAAAUCUUGUAUACCAGGGUAGCUGUUAAUUCUUGCAUAAUCGUGGUUACCUGUUUGGCUGAUACAAGGUCGUACAAUAACUGAGGAAGUGUUUUUUAUGGUUGAUGCUUGUUGGUAGUGGGACUGUUCGGAGAUGGAAAAGAGCUAGGCUAUAUAGAGAUUGUGCGGGUGUCAAAGUGAGGGUAGGUGUCUAAUAUGCAGAAUUCGUCUAUGAAAGGUAUAAAAAAGAGAGCAAAAGGAAAGGUUGCGUUGGAUUUAUCUAAUUCAUAUACUAUUUGUUAAAUUAAAUUGUGUUUACAAGGUGACAUUAAGGGUUGCCAAAAAACCCAGACCCUAUGGGUCCCUGCCUAUCAACCAGUGAGAGUGGUUUGGAAUUUUUCCUAGGAAGAGGUGGGAGAGUUUGGAGAGGGUGAGGUAAACAGUAACCAAUAUGGUUCGGGUUGGGUCUGGGCAGAGGAGGGGUCCUUCGAUCCGAUUACAUAUAAUAUUACAAAAACUGCCAAAUGGUUUAUAUAUUUACUGUCAUCAUUUAAAUAAAUUAGGACCAUUAGGUUUUCAAAUCUGGGUUUUUUGUGAUUUUGUCUGAAUUUUACUAGAUGUUCACUUGUAGUGCAAAGAAAAAAGUAGUUUACCUUGAUUUCAAAUUUGUUGGCAUGCAGUAUGAUACGUGUAGGCAUGGAAACCAGGAUAAAGCUAGUGCUAAUGCUAGUCUGAUUUGAACCUCAGACGGUUGGAGUAUCCGAAUUGUUCUUCUAGUGUCGGGUAGAGGGGUGGGGUUAGGGGGGUAGGGUGUGUAAUUAACAUUUCGUGGGCAGGGUCAAGCGAGGGGGCAGGGGCAGGGUUUCUUAGGUGGGGUAAUGAACCCCCACCCCCCUAAAAAAAUAAUAAUAAUAAAUAAAUAAUAAUAAUAAUAAUAAAAAUACUGUUUCCAUUUCUGCACAGAGCAUUUAUGCAUAAUACUGAAGUUCUAUGUAAAAAUACAUUGUAAACGUACAUUCCUGGUUGAAUGUUAGCUGCAUGUCGAAAGCAUAUUUCAUACCCUACCCCCCCCGCCGAGUAUCCGACAUUUGGUACUUACAAAUAUACGCGUUCAUCAAAUAGAAAGGCCGCUGUAUUUGGAAAAAUUAGCUUUGCAAACAACAGAGUUGGGAUGAACGUUUUGAUUGUCAGUUGGAUAAAUACGUAUUUUUUAUGAUAAGUAAUUGUUUAUGGCCCUAUGGGUAUCAUUUUUAUUGUUAACUGCUUGACUAUGGUUAUAUGUUUGUGAUGUCAAGCUGUCAAAGCUUUCUUGUGACUUGGUUGUGCUUAUGUUCUGGUCUUACCGUACUAUUUAGUCCCCUUUUCUUUGCCGAUAAAAAAGCCAUUUAGUAUUCUUAUCUCUUAAAUUUUACUCUAGUUUUGAGCAUUCAAAUAUUAAAUUCUUUGUGGGUUUUCAUGCAGUUGCGAUUUGCUAGAUAUGCCUGCCGUUGCACAAUGGAGAAGGAUGCUAAAUCCGCAUUGGUGUUGUAUCAGCUUAUGAAGAACUCUUUCUGACGCAGAGGCUGGAUGCAUACUUAAUUGAGCAGCAAAUUUACUUUGCUGAAAAGCUAUGGUAAGGAUCCAUUUUGGCUUGAAUCUCAAAAUUUCUCGGCAAGCGCUAAGCUUAAUAUUGUGAACCGCAUCUAUUUGAUUCUCAUGUUGGUCUUUGAAUGGUUUGUAGGUUCUGUCAUGAAGACUGUAGGAUAGCAAAGAUGAGGUUGAUGUCAUUGGUAGAUCUUGCCUCCGCGGAAUCUGGCCAAAACUUUCAUAUGCACUUUCAAGGGACACAACUCUGUGUAAAUUUUAUUUUCCAUUCUGCAUCUGCUGCUCUUACUUUGUGUACAUGUGCGAUAUAAUGACGCAAGGGUCUUUGUAGAUCAAUGAUGAUGAGGUGGAAAUGUUGGGUGGGGUUUAAGGCAAUCACAGCAAAGUAAUCGCUUGCCCACGAUGGACAGAUGAAUGAAAUUGUAUGUAAGGUGCGUGUAUGGUAUUUCUUUGUCCCUCCCUCAUGCUUCCCCACUUCCCCUCCUUUGUCGGUGCCUCUUGAGUCUUGAGUGCAAUCUAAUUUAUGAACUUCAUUAUUGACUGGUGAAUAAUAAUCAUACUUUUUUGGUGUGUAGCCGCUGCACUGAGCGUGUGUUUGGGCAGCGUCAAUGGCAGUCCCUGCGAUCAAAGCUAGCAACAUGGAGGGUAAAGAACUCCUUCCGAUUUAUUUGCUUUGAUUUUUUAUUCUAUUCUGGUGUUUUUUUAAUACUAGAUUACACACACCCCUUUUUAUAAUGCGAUGCAUUAUCUGGAUCUCGGAUUUGAUUGUCAAAGAAUGGGCAUUUUGGUUUGAUGUUACCUUGUAAUCGUAGUUAAGGGAAUAUCUUGAGGUUGUGUUUGUUUGCCUAGAUUAGGCCGGUGGAUUGAAAAUAUAUUAAACACAACAUGCUUUAAUGGUAAGAACCACAUAGAAAUAUGCUUGUGGCCAGAGUAAUACCAAAGUGACAGCAGUAUUAUGUCCUUCAUUGGGUGGCUAACACCCUGUGGGGUAAUUGAAAGUAUUUCCAUAUAAAAAGAGCUUGUUUGAUCAGUUAGAAAUAAAAAAAUGAACGGAAACAUGGUUCCAAUAAAAGGAAUCCUGAUUCUGCAGAUUAGUAGGGAAAAGAAAAAAGGGACCUGAGAACGAUAUUAUUCCCAAUUUAAAUAUUGCACCCACUGGAAUAGUAUUUUGGCUCUCAAUAUGGGCUGUCCAUAAGCCAUUUAUCUGCCCGAAAGCAAUAAAGAGAAGCACAUUGGUCAGUGUCAAUUGACCCAUGCCCAACCCAGAACGUAUUGUGUGAUCGGUCCUCAUAGGGUCCCGUCGAAGUAAAUUACCCAUAGAUGGAGAUAAUUCUGUCUUCUUUUUCCUAUACUUGCAUGAUAAUGCUAACUGGAUAGCCCCAUCCGAGCAUGCCUACUUUGGUUGGUGAUCUAAUGUUCCAAGUUAGUCAUUCAUCUGUCCUACCUCACGUCUUUCGUUUUAUUUCUGUUGCAACUUAUUGAAUGUUUCUGGAAAUUUAACUUUUGUACGACAUUUUUUUCUAGGGUAAUAUCUCAAACGUCAUCAGCACCAUCCAAGCUAACAAGAUAACGGAAGACGGCACACAAGCAAUGUAAGGCUUGACGAUACAUUGAAAAAGCUCUCAUUUUGUGGCAAUGAGUUUUAUUCUUUUGGUCUUAGUGGCAAUGAGUUCGAAGACCCAUCUUUGUUUAGUGAUGGGUCAGACAUGGUGGAAAUCCCAAACUACAUUGGUUUCAAUUCUCUUUUGUUUGAGUUGGAAGCGAGUUUAUGUCAUGGAAAAUUUGACAGAGACAAGUAGGUUUUUCAUGCCUCAAAAUUUUGAUGUUUAUUGGCUGGAAUAUAAACCUUGUUGGCAUUACAAGUUUUGUUUGGCGAUCAAUGUCAUAUAUAAGAGCUAGGUUUGGGGUUGCUUUGCUUUACGGAGCAAACAAAUCCGCAACUUUGAAGAACUAAAACAACAUUUGAGAAGCAAUACAUAAACCAAAAAUAGAAAAACCCAACCUGCGGGAAAAAAGGAUUCUCCUCCAUUGAUUUCAAGGACAAAAAGUGUUUCAACUUUCGCGGAUCGUUAGAUCGCUUAUCAUGGAAGAAGUGUCAAACAACAUGAUAAUUUCAUUAUUCAGUUUCUUUCUCAGCAAAUUGUACUUCCAAAUGGGACACGUAAUUGCAUUGUACGUCCAUGCAUUAUGUUUGGACUUUGGGUCCUUGUAAUUGCCUCCUCACCAGUGCAGUGUAAAUACCAUCCCUGCCAAGAAGCUCGUCGUGGGUGCCGCUUUCGGCAAUCUGACCGCCGGAUACGACGGCAACCAUGUCUGCACUUUUGACAGUUGAAAGCCUGUGAGCUAUAACCAGAACGGUCCUCCCUCUCAUCAGAGAAUCCAUGGCAUCCUAAUACAGCACCCAUCAAAUCGGUCAGCUAAAGUGAGAAGAAACGAAUCAAAAUCUUGAUUUGCAGAUAAAACCUAUUAAAAUUUGUUAAAUUAGGCUAGAAAAAUAAAAUAAAAAUGAAAGUGUUAUCCACCAAGGCACAAAGAUAACGCGGAUGCGGAUACAAAACGACACGCAGUAGGCUUACACCAAGUCACCAAGGUGAACUAGAGGAUAGACCUUUUAGCAAUAGCCAUGGCGGUAAGUCAAUGAGGAACGUGCUUUAUUUCAAGAAAUUAGAGUAAAAAUUGGAAUAGCCGAAGCGUAGGAUGGUUGCUAAACUACUGCCGAAUAAUUGUUAAAGAUAACCGUGCAAGUCAUCGGAUUAAUGCAUUUCUUAGUUUCAUGUAUUAUUCGAAACAUGUCAAAGUUCACCUGGACUAGGUAUUCACUCUCGGCAUCCAGAGCGCUUGUGGCUUCAUCCAACAGCAAAACCCUUGGGUUCAUCAAGAGCGCUCUUGCAAUUGCUAUCCUUUGUUUCUGGCCUCCUGACAGCCUCAAGCCACGUUCUCCGACAACCGUUUGAUAUUUUUCGGGAAACGCUGCAACAAAAUCAUGGGCAUUUGCCAUUUUCUGCAAUUAUCACUGUCCAUCAGUAUGCACAGUUGGAAUAUCACAACUUACACACACAAAUGAAAGAAAAGAGGAAUGAGCAAGGAAACUUACAGCCACAUUUUCUACAUCUGUGCUGCUGGCUUUUCCAUCAAAUCCAUAGGCAAUGUUCUCCUCGACAGAGCAAUUGAAAAGAACAGGCUCCUGGCUCACUAUACUGAUCUACAGUUUUACAAAGCAUCGAAGAUUAAGGUAUCAUAAAAUAUUCUAGAUGAUAAAACAAAGCUAUUGAUUAGUAGAAAUAUUUACUAGUAUUUACGGUUUACAGUUUGCAAAUGAAGGACAUAUUUACAGUUUGCAUAUGAUUAAGAACAUAUAUUCCAAACCGAACCAAGCCUUAUGUCCCAAUUAAUUGGAGGCGGUUACAUGAAUACUUUUUCACCAUUUAUAUCCUCUUUUACUAUGAGGUCCCAUAUCAAUGUCAGUCUUUCUCUCCUAGUAUUUCCAUUCAUCAAAAGGAUAUACUAACAGCCACAGUAUUUGUCGAACCAUUUAAAAUGCAACUAGAAACACUCUUGAGAUAACUCAAUUACGAUGUCACUCAGUUGAAACCAGAACAUAUCAAAAUGGGUGGAAGGCAACUUACUAAUUCCUUCUAAUAACAGAGCCAACAUAAAUGUCACGGCUUGAUGAUUCAUUUAAGUCACUGAUUUUUGGUCAAACAUCCAAAUGUUAUAACACAUUUGUGGAGGAAAAUAGGGCCAAUGCGUUUACAACAUGAACUGCGGACCUCAUGAUAAUCUUGUUAUUCUCUAUUUUACAUGAUUUUCUAAAAGUACAAAGUACCUGUGUUGGGCACACAACAAUUGGGUAAGGGUAUGGGAUGUGUCCAACAUUUUCUCGUUGAACAGUGACCUAGAAUGCAUCUUUAAUAAUUCAAAUUUAUUUGAUUAACUAUGCUAGAACUCUCACAGGUUGCAUACAACAUUUAUCCUAGAAAACAAAAGAUACAUACCAAGAAAUACGAAUAUUCCCGUGUCCUUGACAUAGGAAUUAGACGACUCCAACACUCGGAUAUAUACCCACACACUUAACACCCAUACCCGUAACAUAAGUUAUUCUAUGUUUAUAGUGGAUAUUACUCGGAGUAUGGAAGAAAGGUGGCAAGCAGCAUACAUAUUUUUUUUAUUCAACGAUUUGAAUAAAUGUGCUUACCUAGUUGUGUAACGAAGACCAUUGAAAACUGAUGUAGUUUACUGUGAAUAUUGAAAUGUACGUAAGCCAAAAUCCAGGCACGAUUACCUUUUUAUGUAAAUAUUUGUGUGAUAUUUCCAUGAGAGAAACCCCAUUUAGCAAAAUCUUCCCUUUGAGCGGGUCAUAAAAUCUCUCUAUCAAGUUUGCUAUUGUGGUCUGCAACAGAAGAGAACAUGAUAUUGCAAUGGUACAAGUUCAUGUUCAUCGAAAAGCUAGCAAGAAGGAAACAAGAACUUCAAAUUUUCUGCAAAAGAAAACACAGAAUGAUAAUGAGAAUUAAUACUUUGCCGCCGCCACUUGGACCAACGAGGGCAACUUUGGACCCCGGCCUCAGUUUUAACGUUAUCCCCUGCAAUUCAAACAAUGUUGUUAGACGGACCCGAAAUAGUAAGAAAUUCAUGUAUUUUGAUCAUGGUGAGUUCAUAUUGAAAGUUGAAAGCGUAAGCUCGGUCAGGUUGCAGGGAAAAUUGGAAGGAAGAGAGAAGCAGCUUUGGUUCCUACAAACACCCUUCCAACUUAAAAAUUUACGAGCUUCAAUUUUUUCGUUUUGUCAAUCUCUUCUAGUUUCUCAGGAACAGCAAGGAGCACACCAGCGGCGGAGCCGUGUUAGGACCAGAACCUCAAGUUUUAAGAAACAUAAUUUCAAUACACACCUCUAAUAAUUAACAUAUGCACCAUUAAAUCUUUCAUAUCCCUCUUUUUCCUUUAGGUUUCAAUAAAAUCCCUACAAUUUGCUCUUUUCAAGUUUUAUUUUCUAAAAAUCCCCUUUUUCAUUUCUCUCUCCAUUCCUACUACUCUCUCUCUCUCUCUCUCUCUCUCUCUACUCUCUCAUCUCUGCAACAAUUGCUUACCGCUGUUGAGUCCCACUUGUAACUCUUUGCGGUAGUGCACAUUAUAACUAUCAUAAUGCUACUUGGUGUUUAUGUCGAUAGAAUCUCAAUUGGAUUGAAUCUCGUUUCAAACUAUUUUUGCCCCUUCUGGAUCGAUUUUCUGGCUCCGCCACUGGAGAAUACUAAGCACCUUAAGGUUCACAAUUCUCAAUUUCUAUUGGUUUUUGUAAGUAUAUUAGUUAUAUCAACCAAAAGCCAAAAGUUACCUAUGAUGACUAAUAAAACAAAACCCAUGAUCGAAUAUCAAAAAAACAUGUACUUAAAUAUGAUCGAGUCGGCAAAGAGAAAAACAAUUUUGCUUUAUAUGUUUAUUACAUUUAAAAGCAAGCCUCAUAGAAAACGAACAAAGUUGAUACCUUGAGCACCAUGUGACUCGGGCGAGAAGGGUAAGCAAACCAGACAUCAUCUAGUUCAACAUCUCCAUCUGGAUUGCUGCACAUAAUGCCACAACAUAAAUUGAAAAACAAUGGCAUUAAAUGCGAUGCGUGGAGAGAGAGAGAGAGAGAGAGAGAGAGAGAACCCAGUAGGAGAUUUAUCUCCUGAUCUUGGCAUGGUUGACUCGCGAUCAAGAAGCUGAAAAACUCUCCUACUAGCUCCUGCAGCUUUCAUUGCAGUUGUAUAUAGUCCUGAGAGUGACGAUACAGAAGACCCAACUGCAGGUGGAGAGUUUAGCACAUUGAAGAUCAAAGCUCCCAUAUUACUGCCAAAUCAGAAGCGAUCAAAUAUUUGAAUUGUAACAAAUAUAUACAUAUAUAAAAAAGCACACUCAAGUUUACCUAAACACUAACUAAUACUUUAAUGAAGCCUUAAUUACUUACUACUUAGGAUAGGCUAGAUGAAUCUUUUUCCAUAAUUCAGCUCUAUUUAGAUCUACAACAAAAAUAGGUCACCAUGUGAUUUGAACUCGCAAUUUAUUUAUUUUGAGUGUUUCUCUUAACCUUGCCUUGCCAUCAACUAUCAAAUGAUUCAUCCAUAUUGCAGAAUUUUGCACUCACCACGCAGCAAAACUUUCAGAUAUAGCUAUCAUACCUCUAAUUACUUUAUUGUGUAUCGUUUUGUAUUAGCGUAUUAUCAUCAUCUGUCUCACCAUCAAAAAAUAGCCACACCCAAUUCACCUCAACUGAAAACAACAAAAUCACCUAAAACUUGCUUGAAACGGGAAAUGACCUCUUGUUGAGGUACUUGUUAUACUGAAGCGGGUCCAUAAAUCAAACACAAAUGCACAAGCGAACAAAACACAAAAUUUACGUGGUUCGACAAAUUGCCUACUUCCACGGGAGGGGAGAAACAAAGUCACUAAUAGAUAGAAUACAAAACAUAGGAGGAAACACACUCACUCAAACUCUCAGCUUACUCUCUCUGAUCUCUCACACACACUCAGAUUUACCACAACUUACCAUGCUUCACUCUCUGUCACUUUACUCUAUUUAUAAGAAAAGGAGAAGCGAGAAUGAGGUGAGCAAUGAGCUCAUCUUCAUUAGCGCUUGUUGUCGAGAGUCCAUAAAGGGGCUUGCAUGUUUUCACAAUGGUGGCUGGAGUCAAUAAUAAUGACUCCAGCAAAUGCAGCAAAUCUUCCUGGAUUCUUAAAAAAUAUCCACCUUGGCGAGAAUUCAUCUGCUGAGCAAAAAUUUGAACCAACACAGAUCUCAACUCUGCCUUCCAUGCGCCUUAAGGCGCCUUGCAUCCGAAGGUGCUUAACAAUGUGUGAUCAAGUCCAAGCAGUAUUGGAACUUGAACCCAGUGACAACCAUUAUCAUCAUAUCAGCUGGAUUAAUUGCAGUAUCAAUUUUCUACGGCACAAUGUCACCUUCCUCUUGAAUCUUGCAAACAAAAUGGAACCGAACAUCCGACUGUGAUGUACCUGAUUCUUUGGCAAAUGGAUUGCGCUCUGACUAUCGCAAUAGACAGUGACCUAUUCUUGGUCCUCCUGUCACUGUUGAACGGCGCUUGUCGAGGUCACCUGCAUAAUCUGAAUCUACGUGGCCGAUAACAAGACGAUCAUCACCAUUACCUUUCUCGAACUUCAAGCCAAGAUCAGAAGUGCUUCGUAACGGAGGAAACAAUGGCAAAGGAUCUUUGAAAGAAACUAGAAUAUAAGUACAUGACAAAGAGCAUCGAGAGCCGCCUCUGCCUCAAAAAGAAGCUCUUCAUCAAGAAGGUAUAUAUGUACAAACAUCUGAAUGAUUACAAUAAGAUCCUUGUUGAUUUACAGAAUUUGAAUGCUAAAAUUGUUGAUGAACACUUAAUUACCACAUUGUUAUACGGGAAGGAAAAGAUCAACUUUAAUGAUGUAUCUAAUGUAUUGUUAAAAAAUGAGUACCGAAAGAAGAACAAACAGGUCCACAUAGAUACAUCAAACGAAGCCUACACAGCAAGGGGAAGAUCACAGAAGAGAUAUCCAAGUAAGAACAAGGGGGAAAUCUCGAUCAAAAUCACAUGGAGCAUCAGUCAAUAAGAAGCUUGCCAAAGACGAGUGCGAGGGAGAUGAGGUUCUUCUGCAGGUCCAUCGCAUACCGAACACCCUUCAAGAGCCUCAUCGUUCCAUCGUGCAACUUCUCCUGGAUGCUUCUUAUCCCUUGUGUCUUACAGGCAUUGUCGUUGCCCAUAAGAACUGCUCCACCAUCUAAGGUCGAAAACCAAUCCCUAUUGGGACACAUGUGAUAGGUACAAACGGAGUCCAAGAUCCACUCAUUAGAAUGGCCAACAAAUGAUGAACUCAUCAAAGGCAUUGUCUGAAUCUUCGUCUUCACUAGCAACAUUGAUUAUGGAUGGCUUGUCCUUCUACUGCACUUUCUGCUUUGGACAAUCUUUCUUCCAGUGCGACAAUAAGCGCACUAUUCUUUGGAAAACUUCUUACUGCCUAAUGCCCCAAGUGAUUUUGAUAUAGAUUUCCCCCUGUUCUUACUUAGAGAUCUCGUCUGCGAUUUUCCUUCGCU